AGAGUUUGAUCCUGGCUCAGAAUGAACGCUGGCGGCGUGCUUAACACAUGCAAGUCGCACGAGAACGCUUCAGCUUGCUGAAGUUAGUAAAGUGGCGCACGGGUGAGUAACGCGUGGGUAAUCUCCCCCCGAAUUGGGGAUAACAUUGCGAAAGCGAUGCUAAUACCGAAUGAUAUCUUAAGUACCCCGGUAUUUAAGAUCAAAGAUGGCCUCUACAUGUAAGCUAUUGUUUGGGGAUGAGCCCGCGUACCAUUAGCUUGUUGGUAGGGUAACGGCCUACCAAGGCUGCGAUGGUUAGCUGGUCUGAGAGGAUGAUCAGCCACACUGGAACUGACACACGGUCCAGACUCCUACGGGAGGCAGCAGUGAGGAAUUUUGCGCAAUGGGGGAAACCCUGACGCAGCAACGCCGCGUGAGUGAUGAAGGCUUUAGGGUCGUAAAGCUCUGUCAAGUGGGAAGAAACCACUUGGUGCUAAUACCACCAUGUGUUGACGGUACCACUGAAGGAAGCACCGGCUAACUCCGUGCCAGCAGCCGCGGUAAUACGGGGGGUGCAAGCGUUAUUCGGAAUUACUGGGCGUAAAGAGCGCGUAGGCGGUCUUUUAAGUCAGGUGUGAAAGCCCGGGGCUCAACCCCGGAAGUGCACUUGAAACUGAGAGACUUGAGUAUGGGAGAGGGAAGUGGAAUUCCUGGUGUAGCGGUGAAAUGCGUAGAUAUCAGGAGGAACACCGGUGGCGAAGGCGGCUUACUGGACUGUAACUGACGCUGAGGUACGAAAGCGUGGGGAGCGAACAGGAUUAGAUACCCUGGUAGUCCACGCCGUAAACGAUGAAUGCUAGGUGUCGGGAGUCGAAUCUCGGUGCCGCAGCUAACGCACUAAGCAUUCCACCUGGGGAGUACGACCGCAAGGUUGAAACUCAAAGGAAUUGACGGGGGCCCGCACAAGCGGUGGAGCAUGUGGUUUAAUUCGAAGCAACGCGAAGAACCUUACCAAAUCUUGACAUCCCUUUGACCGGCAUUUAAUUUUGCCUUUUCUUCGGAACAAAGGUGACAGGUGGUGCAUGGUUGUCGUCAGCUCGUGUCGUGAGAUGUUGGGUUAAGUCCCGCAACGAGCGCAACCCUUAUCUUUAGUGCCAGCACGUAAUGGUGGGAACUCUAGAGAGACUGCCAGGGAUAACCUGGAGGAAGGUGGGGAUGACGUCAAAUCAUCAUGCCCCUUAUGAUUUGGGCUACACACGUGCUACAAUGGUAGAUACAAAGGGAAGCCAAAGAGUGAUCUGGAGCAAACCCCAUAAAGUCUAUCCCAGUUCGGAUUGUAGUCUGCAACUCGACUACAUGAAGUUGGAAUCGCUAGUAAUCGUGGAUCAGCAUGCCACGGUGAAUACGUUCCCGGGCCUUGUACACACCGCCCGUCACACCACGGAAGUUGGGAGCGCCCAACGCCAGUGACCUAACCUUCGGGAAGGAGCUGUCUAAGGCGAAAUCAAUGACUGGGGUGAAGUCGUAACAAGGUA
rnacentral:rRNA from 1 species